rnacentral:misc_RNA from 1 species
CCAAUAGCGUAUAUUAAAGUUGUUGCAGUUAAAAAGCUCGUAGUUGAACUUCGGGGUUUACUUAUUGGUCAGGCUUAAUUGUCUGCACUGGUAAGAUGAAUCUCUACCUUCUGAGGAACUUUCAUGCCAUUUAUUUGGUGUGAUUGGAAAUCAGGACUGUUACUUUGAAAAAAUUAGAGUGUUUAAAGCAGGCUAACGUCUGAAUACAUUAGCAUGGAAUAAUGAAAUAGGACGGACUGAUUCUAUUUCGUUGGUUUCUAGGAUCACCGUAAUGAUUAAUAGGGAUAGUUGGGGGCAUUAGUAUUCAAUUGUCAGAGGUGAAAUUCUUGGAUUUAUUGAAGACGAACUACUGCGAAAGCAUUCGCCAAGGAUGUUUUCAUUAAUCAGUGAACGAAAGUUAGGGGAUCGAAGACGAUCAGAUACCGUCGUAGUCUUAACCAUAAACUAUGCCGACUAGCGAUCCGCGGCCGUUGUUCAUAUGACUUCGCGGGCAGCCUUCG